AGAGGUAAAAAACUCCUGGGAAACAACUUCCGGUUAUCACCUAAGAAGUAAACAAGUCCAGGGAAAAGAGGAUAAAAGUAGAAAUCCAGAGCAAUGCUGUGAGCAGUCUGACUGGGCACUUGGCUAAGACCCUCUGCAAGGCUCUGUGUGAGACAGUAUAUGACAGAGUCAUCUGUGAGUGGCAAGCUGCGAUACUCUGGGACUCCAAAGUUCUUCCUUGCAAAACCAGCUCGCCUCAGACCCGUCGUGGGCCCAGUCAUCUCUCCCGGACCAGGAACCUUCACCACCUCAGUUGACUCUGGGACUUGAACUUCUGGUUCACAGACGGCUCAGCAAUGGGACAGCACAGCUUUCAGGCCAGAGGACGGGGUCAUUCUCAAGGAACAAGGAUAUAAUCACCGUUGGAGGAGGGAGUACUUAUUGGACUUCCGGAGGACGUGUACAGUUACAGCUCCACAAAACCAACCAAAUCUCCCCAAACUUCUAAGUACCUGGAGAAGAGGAAGAGGGUGUUUAUGAUGAGUAUCAUGAUGGGGAUUACGAGGGUUAUGAGGUGAGCAAUAACAUUACAACUACUAAAGUACUGCACCCAACAGUAGUGCUACUUCGACAGCUAAGCCAUCCAUCCUCAAUCUAAUCUAUUGUCCUUUCCGCUUCUCGCCUAGCA